rnacentral:rRNA from 1 species
GACGAACGCUGGCGGCGUGCUUAACACAUGCCAGUCGAACGGAAAGGCCCUGCUUUUGUGGGGUGCUCGAGUGGCGAACGGGUGAGUAACACGUGAGUAACCUGCCCUUGACUUUGGGAUAACUUCAGGAAACUGGGGCUAAUACCGGAUAGGAGCUCCUGCUGCAUGGUGGGGGUUGGAAAGUUUCGGCGGUUGGGGAUGGACUCGCGGCUUAUCAGCUUGUUGGUGGGGUAGUGGCUUACCAAGGCUUUGACGGGUAGCCGGCCUGGGAGGGUGACCGGCCACAUUGGGACUGAGAUACGGCCCAGACUCCUACGGGAGGCAGCAGUGGGGAAUAUUGCACAGUGGGCGGAAGCCUGAUGCAGCAACGCCCCGUGCGGGAUGACGGCCUUCGGGUUGUAAACCGCUUUCGCCUGUGACGAGGCGUGAGUGACGGUAAUGGGUAAAGAAGCACCGGCUAACUACGUG